rnacentral:rRNA from 1 species
AAAUUGAAGAGUUUGAUCAUGGCUCAGAUUGAACGCUGGCGGCAGGCCUAACACAUGCAAGUCGAACGGUAGCACAGAGAGCUUGCUCUCGGGUGACGAGUGGCGGACGGGUGAGUAAUGUCUGGGAAACUGCCCGAUGGAGGGGGAUAACUACUGGAAAC